UUGCCGUGCUAGAUCUCAUUCAAGGUGCGUUUCUAAUAAGGAAUUAUCAAAAUGUGAUUAUGUCUGGAUGUGAGUGUUAUGUUUCAAUUUUCAAAAGUAGAUGUUGCCACAUAUAGUAAAGGGAUUUCAGUCAAAAUGAUUGAUUAAUUGGAAGUUCAUUACUAAAUCGAAGAUAUGGUAGGGAUGUUAAUACAUUAUCGAUCAUUGGGUUUGCACAUUGUAAUAAAAUUUCUAUGGUCAUGGAAGAACACAAAUUUAGAGAAUAUCUAUUUUAUAUGAUAGUUAUUGCUAAGAUGGAGUGGCUGUCAUUUUAGUAAUUAUUUUACAUCCAAAUUUGAACAAUAGAUAAGAAUAGCUAUUCCAUCUUAUCAUAUUUCAUGCUUUUCAAUGGACCAAAUGAAGCCUACAAGUAUGCAUGGUUAAUUAAAAAGACAGUAAAGUGUAACUAAUGCACAUCCUGGAGGAAGAUACAUCGGUUGUGUGCAAUACUUUGUUGUUUGGAUUGGUUUUAUGGAACCGAUGUCGCUUUCCCUUGAUUGAAUUUUUGUGCAGUUCAUACUUCAACCAGUGCCUUCCGAAUUCUGAUAAACACCCAAUGUCUUUUUUGAGCUUCAAAAUCUUUAACUCCAUCAACUGAUAUAACUACAUCUUCUUUGUUCAUGAGCUGGCAGCUUGCUGCUUUUGUAAUCUUAUUGUUUAUCACGAGAUGAAGGUACUUUAUUGCUUAAGAUUAGGGCUGGAUAACUUUCAGGAUCUGCCCAUGAAUAGUUGACUUCCCAUCUGAAAUAUUAAAAUGUUCUCUUUGAGUUUAGAGCUUGUAAUUAAACUUCCGUUUCUUCAGUUUUUGUAGAAACACUGGGCAAAUGCUUCGGAAAUGUGUGUGAGCUUGACAUGGUGUUCAAUUACAGCAAGGUUUGUACAAUCCCCUAUUUACUUGCAACAUAUUUUCUGUCACAGUACCUGGGAAAUGUGUGUUUACUAUUUCUAGAUUGGACAGAGAAAACUAUUUUUGAUGAACUCAACCAAAAAUUACUUGUGAAAACCUUUAAUGUUUAAUCACUCAAUUUUGUCACAUUUUUUAGUUUUCGUUUGAUCAUUGGAUCUGAAAUUUUGAUUUUAUAUUUACCACUAAUGCACAUGGAUUAUUUCCAUUAUACCGAUCUUCAACCUAAUUCUUAUGCAGUUGCAUACAAUUUUAGAUGAGAGUUUUUGGAGGUCAGGUUCUUGAAACAAGUUCCACUGAAGUUAAGAAGGCUGUUGAAGAAAUAUCGAAGUGACUCUCCCCCUCUCUUUCACACGCAUAAACACAAAUAUUUUUUAUCAUCUAUCUAAUGUGUUACAUGUGAAACAGGCUAGAAGCAUUCUCAAAUUCCAUCACUUUAGUUUCCAAAACUGUUUCUGGUUGGCGAAGUCGACAGCACAUUGAUGUAGAGAGAUGUUAAAAUGAUUGCGAUUAACCCAUCGAGCAUCAUGGCGCUCAGACCUGAAAUGGUUUCUGAGACGUUAUACUUACAUUAAGCAAGCUGCUAUGGUGGUCAUAGUUUCUAGCAUUGGUGAAUAUUUUAAAUGAUAGUUUGUGGAAAACUUUCAGAUUAGUCUACAAGAUUGGAAGUUAAUGAGUGAUUUAAAUCACGAGCUUCAAUUCAUUCUGUUGCUGAUGACCUGGGAUAAUAUGGAAGUCCAAAUAAAGGAUCAGAGGGGUGAUUGUUCCCCGCGAAUAGUUCAUCAUAACACAGUAUUCGAAUAACAUCAAUAUGAAUAGGAAACCUUAGAAACUUAGAGCAGCAAGUUUGUGUAAUUGAAUUUAUUGGCUUUUAACAUCCUGGAGAACUAGAUGUGCAGCGUUACGUCCGGGCGCACCCAUCACACCACCACCUGGAUGGCUUCCACUUCCGCACAGGUACAGUCCUCGAAGAGGUGUCCUAUAGUUUGACCAUCCUUUAACAGGUCGCAUGAGGAAGAGGGAAUCUAAUCCCAUAGCACCAUGAAAUACAUUACCGCCUGUCAGACCAAUUUCCCUUUCAAGGUCUGGUGGGGUCAACAUGUCAUAACCAAUGAUUGAUGAGCUGAAGUCAGGGGCAUAUUCUUCAAUCAAAUUAAAACAUCUUUUUGAAAAUGAUUCUCUAUAAGAAGGAUCUUCCCAGCUUCCAUCUGACGGACUGUAGGGUGUGUACUGAACAAACAAAUUUAUCACAUGCUUACCAGGUGGAGAAAUAGUCUUGUCCAAUGCAGAAGGAAUUGUCAUUUCGAUGAUGGGUCUCCUUGAUGGUAACCCAUUAACAGCGUCUUGACUGGCCAAGUGAAUCUCCUCCAUAUUCUCCAAACCAAUAUGAAUGGUGCCCAUAUGCUGAGGGCCUGCAUCUGGGUGACUUAGCUUGCAACAUUGAAAUUGGGGCAGCUUAUCAACAGCUAUAUUUAUCUUUGUAGUAGCAGAACUAUAGUCAGAGUAUUUCAGGGCACGAAUAAAAUCUUCAGGAAGAACAUUGUUGGGAACUAAUUCCAUGAAUGUUUUGUAAGGAGUGGCAUUUGAAAGCACAACUGAAGAAAGUACCUCUGUACCAUCAGCCAGUAAUACCCCGUUCACUGCCCCAGAAUCAUCAAUUAACAUUUCUGAAACCUCAGCACUUGUUACAAUAUGAGCCCCGGCUUCCCUAGCAGCAUUACCAAUAGCACAAGAUACUGAACCCAUUCCACCUUCAACAUACCUACAGUUAGGAAAAAUUCUGAAGCAUCAAGGCUGUCAAAGAAAGAGGUUAACCGCUGCAUUUAAGAGGAAUAACUAUAGGUGCAACAGCAAAAUAAUAUAGAUUAAAAUAAUUAAUUUGGAAUUUUGUUGAAGCCAAAAGCAUUGAUUAGUUAAGAAAGAAUCUUCUAGCAUUUACUUAUGAGCUGUAAAACAACCUGUAUGCUAUGGAGGCAAAAAUAAAAGUGAAUCGGGGGCACCCUCGGCCUCAUACUACAAAAGUUUAUACCAUUUACCAGUCGAAAUGAUGGAACCUGCAGAAUCCUUUCUCAGUUAGAAGAGCCUAUUUUGUUAUUAAAUUCUACCUUGCAAUUUGUUUUCAAUUGAUUUUCCAGCCCAGUUUAGUAAUACUAGAAUCACCAAAUCUGACUACUUUCCCCCAAAAGAUCCCAGCCAAGCAAAAAUAAUAGGUGACUACACAACUGGUACAUGACAUAUUUGAGCAAUAGAAAAAGAAAGGGAUCUUAGGAAAUUUACAGAAUGCUACUUCCAAGAUGCACAAUUCAUACAUCAAGCCAGCAAUAGAAUACAUACGACCAAAUUCCAUGAUCCCCAUCAGUUUCUCCCAUGACAUGAUGUAACAGAACAUAUCCACUUCCUGGUGUGUGGAUACUACCCGUUGUCCCUAUUACAGCAUCCGUUGCAAGGGUUGCCUUCAGAACAUCUGUCUCAAACCAGUUAUUCAAAACCUUUGAAGCUGGAGACAAUAAAAGGCCCAUGAAGUCCACCAUAUCUCUCUGACCUAAGGAAAAAGCCUGCCGCGAAAAACGUGCCCAAAAAGCUGAUUUCUGCAUUUUGUCCUCGAACCAUCAUUAAAGAUGAGAUACUAUGCAAAGAUUCUGGAGGAGGUGAAUCCAAAAGUGGAUCCAUAAACUUGCAGAAGUUCUCUAGCUGAUUCUCAUACCCGCAUAUUGUAAUUUACUCAAUUUAGAAAAUCAGGAAAAAAUAAAAAGAGUUGAGAAUUAGUAUAGAUAUAAGAAAAUACACCUACUUUAAAAGACAAGGCUAAGGAUAUUAACCACAGACAUAUGAAGAAUCAAGAAAAAUCAGUUAAACUGGAGAAUGUUAUACACCCAUGUCAAACUACUAGGAUUAAACCAAGAGUUAAAAACAUUAUAGGUUCACUAUAUCAACAUCAUCUUGAAAAUGAUUUUGUGUAAAAUGAAGCCUACUAAAUUUUGGCCAGUUUCUGCUCUCAGUGAUAGUUCAUGAUCUUUAUUUGGGUGCCCACCUUGUAAGCUAAGCCCAGCAACAAUUUGCAGUACUACUUCAAACUAUGAAUACAAUUAUUUCUAUCUAAAAAGGAACAUGAAUUACCAUGAUCAAAUUUGCUUAUAUUACAAUAACAUCAAUCAAUAAUUAUAAUCUUCAAUAGCUCAAACUUCAGUCUCUUUAAUAAAAUGCAAGAUCAAAAUCAUUAAUAACUAAAAAGAGGAAACAUAGGGCCAAUAGAACCUGGGAUAAGCAUCUGCAUCUCGAAUGAAGAACUUGGAAAUCUCAGAAUGAUUAAGUUCCUUAUCAGGUCCUAAUAGAAGGUAGCGUCCAUCUAAACAGGGCGUAAACGACGACGGAUUUCUCUUCAACAACUUAAAUCCAUGUCUCUUUAAUUCCAACUCUUUGAUGACGGAGGGGCGGAGGAGGCUUUGGAGGUAGCUACAGCGAGAGAACUUGAAGCCUGGAAUUAGCUCUUCAGUUACGGCUGCGCCACCGAUGACAUGACGGCGCUCGAGCACAGCGACAGAGAGUCCAGCUUUAGCAAGGUAGGCGGCGGCUGUCAAGCCAUUAUGGCCGGCGCCGAUAACAAGCGCGUCCCAUUUCUUCUCCUUGAAUGCGCGAGUAGCGAUUGCAGUGGUGAAGCUCCUUCGCCACAUCUCUCCGUUUCACAGUGUUUCUCGGCGAGAGUUUAGGCAGUGCAG
rnacentral:misc_RNA from 1 species